rnacentral:lncRNA from 1 species
UGAGAUGCCGCUUUCUGCUUUAUAUAUAUAUGUUGCGUAUGCAUUUGAUUCUUCUUUCUGUGCAUAGAAUUUGACGCUGAGGGAAAAUGCGAAAGCAAGAUACUAUUUCUGCUUCAUGUUGUACAACAACCUUGAUUUUGUGCCUAGAUCACUAAUAGCAAUCAUUUUAGGUUUCUUGAUUAUGUAUGUGAAGUUUAGGAUGUUAGAUCUAGUUGCUUUUGGUAAUUAAUGUUUUUCAUCUGUUGUUUUGAUUUAUUUAUUGAAUUUCUUGAGGAAGUAUUUAGAAGAAUUUUAGCCUAGAUCCGGGAAGGUGUAAUGUGAAACUUGAAUUUGACAAAAGUUCGAGUUAUUAGUUAAAUUUAAAUUUUAUUUUAUUGUUUUGAUUCCUAGUCAUUAACUUCAACCUGAUAAAAGUUUAGAUCUUAGAAUAAUUAUUUCUAUUUUACUAUGCUUUUUACUCGAUUAGUAAUUUAGUAUGUUUCCGAAUUCAUGAUGGAUUAUGUUAGUAACAUGGAUAAUUAAUGGAUAAAAGUAGUAAAUGUGAAUAUCAUGUCCGUUGACCAUGCGUUCAUUUACGUUAGGUUUUGAUAUGUUUAAUUAUGUCGUCAACAUAAAAAAUAGUAUUCUCAGAGUUCUUUGGUAUAUGUAAAGUAGAUAUCAAAAAUAACUCAUUUCCAAAAAUGGCAAUACGGAGAUGCUGGACUUAUUUUACGACCAAGAAUCACUAGAUACGACGUCCACCUGGCAGGUAGAUUGCAUUUAGGCCCAUUCCGUGAGCAAAUGUUUCCAACACUUUAUGUAUAUUGUCUAAGCUUAAUGGACAAUUAUGGCUGUCGUGUUAGAUUCUUAUGUCAAACUUGGUUGAAAUUUCUCUAGUUUAUAAGCAAAAUACAUAUCUUUCCUUGUUUGAACAACUAAUAUGCAAAUGUUUGAAAAUGCUCAAUUGAGUGCAGAGGUAUUCCACCUUUUUGAGGAGAGGUGUAAGUCUCAACAUAAACCAAUAAAAAAAGAUUUUUAUUUAUUUAUUUUUUUUUUUGGGUAAUAAACCAUGUAGUCAAGUGAACAAAGAAUAACAUAGAAGGAUUCAUGUAGCUAACCAAAAUUUUAUGGGGAAUAGGUUUAGUUAGUUGUUUUUGUAUGUUAGUAAAAAAUCAUAAACCAACUUGAAAAUGCAUCAUAUAACAAUUAUUAGGAAUGAAAGAAAAGAUUGAAGUCGCAUGUUUUGGGUUUCAUCACUAGCCAUUUGUCGCCGAAAGUUGCAACUUUAUUGAGGAGAGUGGUUUGUGGCACUUAAACUAUAGGAGGCUAGCACACACUUUGCUUGCUCUCUUCCCUGAUUCUUCUGGAUUUUUUUAUUUUUUAUUUUUCCUUUUUUAAGUUUUCAAGUUCGAGUUGUGACUUGUGAAGAAACUCGAAAACCCUAGGCUACAGAUAUCUAGCCAAAAAAGUUGACGUAAUUAAUGAACAAGUAAAGGAGAGCACACACCUCAACGGCCUUGAGGCUUAUGCAUCAAAGCAUGUGCUGCCUUGACAAAUGGCAUCAAGAACUCGUUUUUUGAAAAAUCGGGUUAUAUGUUUGCACAUACCUUUUCUUAAAAAAAGCAUUCGAGAAUAAUGUCUUGAUGCACACCUCAACGGCCUUGAGGCUUAUGCAUCAAAGCAUGUGCUGCCUUGACAAAUGGCAUCAAGGUGCUAGUUUUGAGAGCCGCAUGUAAGGUGUGCACCAAGACAUUAUUCUCGAAUGCUUUUUUUAAGAAAAGGUAUGUGCAAACAUAUAACCCGAUUUUUCAAAAAACGAGUGAUACUGAAGACACGAUCCUUUUUAAGCAUUGCUUUCAUGUGACUUCAUUGACGAAUCAAUACUUGUUGAAGCUAUGGGAUGUAAAAUACAAAAGUAAGGGAGAAUUUCGCCUUAGAAGGAAGCCCCUGCGUGAGCGGUGGUGGACGAAGUGGAAGCGAGAAUGUCAUCUUGAGUAACGCAAAUAUUGGUGAGAAUCCAAUGCCCCGAAAACCUAAGGGUUCCUCCACAAGGAUCAUC